UUCCUUCAAAAUCCACUGUCCUGGCUUCAGCUGGGAUAGAGUUAAUUUUCUUCCUAGUGGCUGGUAUGUUGUUAAGUUUUGGAUUUGGUAUGAGAAUAGUGUUGAUAACACACUGAUGUUUUCAGUUGUUGCUGAGUAGUGUUUAGAAUAGUCAGGGAUUUUUCAGCUUCUCGUGCCCAGCCAGC